rnacentral:rRNA from 1 species
UGUCACCUGUUUAUCAAAAACAUAUUUUAAAGAAUAUUAAUUUUAAAUCAAAUCUGCCCAAUGAUUAUUAUUAAAUGGCUGCAGAAUCACUAACUGUACAAAGGUAGCAUAAUAAUUUGGUUUUUAAUUAAAACCUUGAAUGAACGAUUUAAUGAGGUAUAAACUUUAUAAAUAAAAUAAAUUUAAAUUUUUAUUUAAGUAAAAAAACUUAAAUUUAUAAAAAAGACGACAAGACCCUAUAGAAUUUUAUUUAUUUAAAAAUUAAAUUUAAUUCAUAAUAAUUUUUAAAUAAAUUUUAUUGGGGUAAUAAAAAAAUUUAACAAAUUUUUUUAAAAAUAAACAAUAAUUAUUGAAAAAAAAUCUUAAAAUUUAAAUUAAUAAAAUUAAUUACCUUAGGGAUAACAGCAUAAUUUUUUUUAAAAGAUCUUAUUAAUAAAAAAGAUUAUGACCUCGAUGUUGAAUAAGAAA